rfam:Desulfitobacterium hafniense Y51 DNA, complete genome.
AGAAUAGUAUUGGGGAGCUGGAAAACGGCUGAGAGGGAAACGAGUGUUUCCGACCCAUUGACCUGAUCUAGGUAAUGCUAGCGGAGGGACUUAGGAUACAUGAGCUU